UACGUAGGGUGCAAGCGUUGUCCGGAAUUAUUGGGCGUAAAGAGCUCGUAGGCGGCGUGUCGCGUCGGCUGUGAAAACCUAGGGCUCAACCCUGGGCCUGCAGCCGAUACGGGCAAGCUAGAAUUCGGUAGGGGAGACUGGAAUUCCUGGUGUAGCGGUGAAAUGCGCAGAUAUCAGGAGGAACACCGGUGGCGAAGGCGGGUCUCUGGGCCGAUAUUGACGCUGAGGAGCGAAAGCGUGGGGAGCGAACAGG
rnacentral:rRNA from 1 species